GACGAACGCUGGCGGCGUGCUUAACGCAUGCAAGUCGAACGGAAAGGCCCUGCUUGCCGGGUGCUCGAGUGGCGAACGGGUGAGUAACACGUGGGUGAUCUGCCCCUUAUUUUGGGAUAAGCCUGGGAAACUGGGUCUAAUACUGGAUAGGACCAUGCUGUAGGUGGUGUGGUGGAAAGAUUAGUUUCGGUAAGGGAUGAGCUCGCGGCCUAUCAGCUUGUUGGUGGGGUAAUGGCCUACCAAGGCGUCGACGGGUAGCCGGCCUGAGAGGGUGGACGGCCACAUUGGGACUACGAUACGGCCCAGACUCCUACGGGAGGCAGCAGUGGGGAAGAUUGCACAAUGGGGGCAAGCCGGAUGCAGCGACGCCGCGUGGGGGAUGACGGCCGUCGGGUUGUAAACUCCUUUCAGCCAUGACGAAGCCCUUGUGGUGACGGUAGUGGUAGAAGAAGCACCGGCUAACUACGUG
rnacentral:rRNA from 1 species